CUCAUUGGUUAUACCCACGUGGGUGAUUGAAAGACCAACUGUUUUGCCGGUAGUCGUGGUAAUACUAUGAACGUUUAGAUGCCGAUCACCAUAUAAAUUCAACGAUGAAAAAGCCUGGAAGGAGGAGAGAUGACUGGAAACAAUUCGGUUGGCCAUUUUAUGUGUAGAUUAAUUUGUCGAAGUAGAGGACCUUGUGCAGUUCAGAGAAUACUUCUAAAUGAGAAGAUCCUGCCAUGGAAAAGACGACUGGUCGGACAUAAAGUGGAAAGGAGGGGAAAUAACUCCCACCAUGCAGCAGGACACCUUCAGCUGUGGAGUCUUUGUAAUGCAGGAAGUUGCACAGAAAUUCCCCAACAUCCCUUCCCAAAUUGAUAUGGAACCUUCAAAAACACAUGGAGCAACUGCGACAAGAAAUGGCUGAGGAUAUACUAAAUAUGUCUGGGUCUUCACAAAAAUGUACCUAAAUCAAUUUUGGAAAAAGGAUUUUACUCACAAAAGACGUAGGAUACGUUUUAUCUAUAAAUUCUCUUCAUUAUUUCUCUUCAUAUGACAAAGAAUAAAAAUAAUUUGCCAAUAGA